rnacentral:rRNA from 1 species
ACUCCUACGGGAGGCAGCAGUGGGGAAUAUUGGACAAUGGGCGCAAGCCUGAUCCAGCCAUGCUGCGUGACUGAUGGUGGCCCUAGGGUUGUAAAGCUCUUUCGGCGGGGAAGAUAAUGACGGUACCCGCAGAAGAAGCCCCGCUUAACGUCGUGCCAGCAGCCGCGGUAAU